rnacentral:rRNA from 1 species
GUCUCUCUGGAAUACUAAGUAAAUAUAGAGAGUCGGACCUGCCCGGUGACUAAGUGUUAAACGGCCGCGGUACCCUAACCGUGCAAAGGUAGCAUAAUCAUUUGCCUUUUAAUUGGAGGCUGGUAUGAAUGGUUUGACGAGAGCUAAGCUGUCUCUUUUGUAAGAUAUUUAAAAAUUAACUUUUAGGUGAAGAGGCCUAAAUUUAUUUAAGGGACAAGAAGACCCUAUUGAGCUUUAGUGAAAUUGUGGGUAGAAUUAUUAGUGUGUAUUAGAAUACAAAUUUAACUUGUAAUUAAUCUUUAGUUGGGGCGACUAAGGAACAUGAAAAGCUUCCUUUAAAAUGUUGUAUUUGCUGAAUAAUAUAUGUUCAGAAAGAAUUCUGUCAUGUUACAUUGAUCCAAAUUUAUUUGAUUAAAGGAAAAAGUUACCAUAGGGAUAACAGCGUAAUCUUUCUGGAGAGACCGUAUCGAAAGGAGGGUUUGCGACCUCGAUGUUGGACUAAGAUAUCCUAAGGGUGUAGAAGUUCUUGAGGGUUGGUCUGUUCGACCAUUAAAAUCUU